rnacentral:rRNA from 1 species
AUUGAACGCUGGCGGAAUGCUUUACACAUGCAAGUCGAACGAUGAAGUCUAGCUUGCUAGAUGAAUUAGUGGCGAACGGGUGAGUAAUAUAUCGGAACGUAUCCAAUAAUGGGGGAUAACUAAUCGAAAGGUUGGCUAAUACCGCAUACGCCCUGAGGGGGAAAGCUGGGGACCGUAAGGCCUAGCGUUAAUGGAGCGGCCGAUAUCGGAUUAGCUAGUUGGUGGGGUAAAAGCCCACCAAGGCGACGAUCCGUAGCUGGUCUGAGAGGACGACCAGCCACACUGGAACUGGGACCCGGUCCAGACUCCUACGGGAGGCAGCAGUGGGGAAUUUUGGACAAUGGGCGCAAGCCUGAUCCAGCCAUUCCGCGUGAGUGAAGAAGGCCUUCGGGUUGUAAAGCUCUUUCGCAAGGGAAGAAAGAUUAGUUUCUAAUAAAGACUGAUUAUGACGGUACCUUGAUAAGAAGCACCGGCUAACUACGUGCCAGCCGCCGCGGUAAGAC